rnacentral:rRNA from 1 species
UGGGGAAUAUUGCACAAUGGGCGCAAGCCUGAUGCAGCCAUGCCGCGUGUGUGAAGAAGGCCUUCGGGUUGUAAAGCACUUUCAGCGAGGAGGAAGGUGGUGAACUUAAUACGCUCAUCAAUUGACGUUACUCGCAGAAGAAGCACCGGCUAACUCCGUGCCAGCAGCCGCGGUAAUACGGAGGGUGCAAGCGUUAAUCGGAAUUACUGGGCGUAAAGCGCACGCAGGCGGUUUGUUAAGUCAGAUGUGAAAUCCCCGGGCUCAACCUGGGAACUGCAUUUGAAACUGGCAAGCUAGAGUCUCGUAGAGGGGGGUAGAAUUCCAGGUGUAGCGGUGAAAUGCGUAGAGAUCUGGAGGAAUACCGGUGGCGAAGGCGGCCCCCUGGACGAAGACUGACGCUCAGGUGCGAAAGCGUGGGGCAGCAAACAGGAUUAGAUACCCUGGUAGUCCACGCUGUAAACGAUGUCGAUUUUGGAGGUUGUGCCCUUGAGGCGUGGCUUCCGGAGCUAACGCGUUAAAUCGACCGCCU